rnacentral:rRNA from 1 species
GACGAACGCUGGCGGCGUGCUUAACACAUGCAAGUCGAGCGGAAAGGCCUGCUUUUCCUUGUUCUUUCGUGGUACUCGAAUGGCUAACUGGCGAGUAACACGUGAAUCAUCUAGCCCCAACUUAGUUAUAAACCUGGGAGACUGGGUCUAAUUCCCGAUAGGACUGCAGGGUGGUGUCGUUGGUGGCGAACGUUUUUCUAGUUGUUGGGGAUGAGCUCGCGGCCUAUCAGCUUGUUGGUGGGGUAAUUUCCUACAAAGGCGGCGACGGGUAGCCGGCCUGGGAGGGGGGACGGCGAAAUUGGGACAGGGACACGGCCCAGACUGCAACGGGCAGCAGGAGUGGGGAAGAUUGGACAAAGGGCUGGAGCGUGAAGCAGCGAGGCAGCGUGGGGGAUGUCGGCAUUCGGGUAGUAAACUACUUUCGAAGGCGAGAAGGCUAACUGGCUGGAAGGGUGGUGACGGUAGUGGUAGAAGAAGCAACGGCUAACUACGUG